GGAGUGGGCUGGUGGUU
rnacentral:miRNA from 1 species